CAGCUGAGUGCCAGUAACCAGAGAAAGGGGAGGGGAGGGCAAAGGGAGAAGAGCAGGAACACCCCACAUCGUCACUGCUGCCAGCGGUCCUGAGAAGGAAGGAGCCAUGAUUGCUGGACUGGGAAAUAGAAGUUCCGGCAUUUUAUUUCCAAGCAAGUUUUCUCAUGGACAUUAUUCAAGAUCCUUUCCAUUCUGAAGAGUAUCAGAGACUGGGGUGGUAAAAGUAGGGUGUUCCUUGAUGUUUUUUUUUUCCAAGAUGGAUAGUUCUAUCUCUGAAGUAAGAUGGAUCUCUGAAGACAACAGGAAAUGCUCAGUCAGUGCCCUGUCCAGAAUCUUCAAAGGCCAAUGCGUAUAUUCUAGGUGGAGUUGAGUGUGCAAGCUGACUCACCAUAGCAACCCGUUCUACUCUCUGGACCAGCACACUGUCCUGCCUCUGCACAGAGAGCCAGUCAUCUACAUAUUGGUGAUGUCAUCCAUCAGGAAAACACAGCAUGGAAUGGAGCCUCGGUGGAUGAAGAAGGGCCUUUUAGAUCUCACUGCAUGGGUCCUAGCUCAAAUAGCUAGCAGUAGAUAUUAGUUACAAUGGUCAGCAUAGACUUUCACUGAAUAGCUCAAGCCCCAUUCCUAAUGGCCCAUGUAUUGCCUAACCCAACAACACUCACUUUUCCUGGGUUUGCAGCCCAUGCAGGGGUUUUCACAGUGGGAGAAUUUCCAUGCUCUUUCAUAAGUAGAAGCCCAUUCCUAUUCUUUAAAUCUUCAGUCACAGCCCUAAAAGAAGGACCAGAAAAUGGCAGUCAAAGGGUGGGAAGAUGCCUGGAAUAGCGCAUCUUGAUGAAUUGGCUCUCUCUGCCUAUCAGACAGAGGGUGCUUUGCUGUGUCAUUGUCCCAACCAGUGUAAAUGAUAGACAGGUUGACAUCUGUCCCAUUAUUUCCUGAGUCAGAGAUACUUAGAGACAAUUGAGUGGGUCUGAAUGCUCUUAGUGCAGGGUGAUAUGGAGGAAGGAACCAUGGACUUUUUUAAAAUGAGUAUUAGUUAUUUUAGUUUGCAACAUCUGCG
ensembl:lncRNA